UAUCAAUAAGCGGAGGAAAAGAAACCAACAGGGAUUGCCCCAGUAACGGCGAGUGAAGCGGCAACAGCUCAAAUUUGAAAUCUGGCGCAAGCCCGAGUUGUAAUUUGCAGAGGAUGCUUCAGGGCAGCGACCGGUCUAAGUUCCUUGGAACAGGACGUCGUAGAGGGUGAGAAUCCCGUAUGCGACCGGUUGGCACCCGUCACGUAGCUCCUUCGACGAGUCGAGUUGUUUGGGAAUGCAGCUCUAAAUGGGAGGUAAAUUUCUUCUAAAGCUAAAUACCGGCCAGAGACCGAUAGCGCACAAGUAGAGUGAUCGAAAGAUGAAAAGCACUUUGGAAAGAGAGUUAAAAAGCACGUGAAAUUGUUGAAAGGGAAGCGCAUGCAACCAGACUUGUCGGCGGUGUUCCGCCGGUCUUCUGACCGGUCCACUCGCCGCCGGCAGGCCAGCAUCAUCUGGGCGCGCCGGACAAAGGCGCGGGGAAUGUAGCUCCUCGGAGUGUUAUAGCCCCGCGCACAAUACGGCGCCGCUCGGGUGAGGUCCGCGCUUCGGCUAGGAUGCUGGCGUAAUGGUUGUCUGCGGCCCGUCUUGAAACACGGACCAAGGAGUCUAACAUCUAUGCGAGUGUUCGGGUGUCAAACCCCUACGCGGAAUGAAAGUGAACGGAGGUGGGAAGCGCAAGCUGCACCAUCGACCGAUCCUGAUGUCUUCGGAUGGAUUUGAGUAAGAGCAUAGCUGUUGGGACCCGAAAGAUGGUGAACUAUGCCUGAAUAGGGUGAAGCCAGAGGAAACUCUGGUGGAGGCUCGCAGCGGUUCUGACGUGCAAAUCGAUCGUCAAAUUUGGGUAUAGGGGCGAAAGACUAAUCGAACCAUCUAGUAGCUGGUUCCUGCCGA
rnacentral:rRNA from 1 species